rnacentral:rRNA from 1 species
GCAUAACAAUAAGCGGAGGAAAAGAAACCAACAGGGAUUGCCUCAGUAACGGCGAGUGAAGCGGCAACAGCUCAAAUUUGAAAUCUGGAGUCUUUCGGCUUCCGAGUUGUAAUUUGAAGAGGAUGUUUCGGUGCGACCUGGGCCUAAGUUCCUUGGAACAGGACGUCAUGGAGGGUGAGAAUCCCGUACAUGGCUGCAGGUUUGCUUCUAUGUGAAACUCCUUCGAAGAGUCGAGUUGUUUGGGAAUGCAGCUCAAAAUGGGUGGUAAAUUUCAUCUAAAGCUAAAUAUUGGCGGGAGACCGAUAGCGCACAAGUAGAGUGAUCGAAAGAUGAAAAGCACUUUGAAAAGAGAGUUAAACAGUACGUGAAAUUGUUGAAAGGGAAGCGCUUGCAAUCAGACUCGCCUUCAGCUGAUCAACCUUCCUUCUGGUUGGUGCACUCUGCUGUUGGCGGGCCAGCAUCAGUUGGGGCGGCGGGAUAAAGGCAGCAGGAAUGUGGCUCGUUUCGGCGAGUGUUAUAGCCUGCUGUGUCAUGCCGCCAGUCCCGACUGAGGUCCGCGGUUCGCCUAGGAUGCUGGCUUAAUGGUUGUAAGCGACCCGUCUUGAAACACGGACCAAGGAGUCUAACAUCUAUGCGAGUCUUUGGGUGUAAAACCCAUGGGCGAAAUGAAAGUGAACGGAGGUGGGAGUCUUCGGAUGCACCAUCGACCGAUCCUGAUGUUCUCGGAUGGAUUUGAGUAUGAGCAUAGCUGUUGGGACCCGAAAGAUGGUGAACUAUGCCUGAAUAGGGUGAAGCCAGAGGAAACUCUGGUGGAGGCUCGCAGCGGUUCUGACGUGCAAAUCGAUCGUCAAAUUUGGGUAUAGGGGCGAAAGACUAAUCGAACCAUCUAGUAGCUGGUUCCUGCCGA